AAUCUCAUUGACUGGAAGGAAUCCCUUCCGGUCAAUGAGGUAUGAAAAUCUCCUUGAAUGGAAGGAAUCCCUUCCGGUCAAUGAGGUAUGAAAAUCUCAUUGAAUGGAAGGAAUCCCUUCCGGUCAAUGAGGUA
rnacentral:miRNA from 1 species